AUGGCGGCUUCGGGAGAGAGUGGUGCUUCGGGCGGCAGAGGCAGCACAGAGGAGGCAUUUAUGACCUUCUACCGUGAGGUGAAACAAAUAGAGAAGAGAGAUUCAGUUCUAACAUCCAAAAAUCAGAUCGAAAGAUUGACUCAUCCUGGUUCCUCUUACUUUAAUCUGAACCCAUUUGAGGUUCUUCAGAUAGAUCCUGAAGUGACAGAUGAAGAAAUAAAAAAGCGGUUCCGUCAGUUGUCCGUCCAUCUUGGUGCAUCCUGACAAAAACCAGGGCGAUGCUGACUGAGCACAGAAGGCUUCUGAAGCUGUGCACAAAGCUUACAAGUUGCUACUACUGGAUCAGGAACAAAAGAAGAGGGCCCUGGAUGUAAUUCAGGCAGGAAAAGAAUACGUGGAACAUACUGUUAAAGAGCGGGGGAAAAAACAACUAAAGAAGGAAGGAAAGCCUACGAAUGUAGAGGAGGAUGACCCCGAGCUGUUCAAACAGGCGGUCUACAAAGAAAUGCACGAGAGGAAGCGACAGAGAGAAGAGGAGAUUGAAGCCCAGGAAAAAGCCAAGCGAGAAAGAGAGUGGCAGAAAAACUUUGAGGAAAGUCGGGAUGGUCGAGUGGACAGUUGGCGAAAUUUCCAGGCAAAUACAAAGGGGAAGAAGGAGAAGAAGAAUCGGACCUUCCUGCGGCCACCGAAAGUCAAGACUGAGCAGCGGGAGCGAGCAGCGGGGCAUCCCUGGCCAGAGCCUCCCCACUGCCUCCUCCUGCUUCUAGGACUCAUUCAUUCUUUCUCCACCUCCACCCCAACAUAGAGUAGCGAUUGCUUUUUAGUCUACUUUGUUGUCAAUACAAUUUAAUAUCAGAGUAAUUCUUUGUACAUUGAGAGGAAGGGCUUGGUCUAACCUCCCCCCUUACCCACGGAACCACCAGGAUUGGAAGGAGCUACUGACU